UUUCCGUAAGUGAACCUGCGGAAGGAUCAUUAAAGAGAAUAUGACCUUCGGGGUAGAUCUCCCACCCUUUGUUUAUAUUACCUUUGUUGCUUUGGCAGGCCCGUCUUCGGACCACCGGCUUCGGCUGGUCAGUGCUUGCCAGAGGACACAAAACUCUUAUUAUUAAUGUAGUCUGAGUACUAUAUAAUAGUUAAAACUUUCAACAACGGAUCUCUUGGUUCUG
rnacentral:misc_RNA from 1 species